UACGAGUGCCCCGAGCGUUAUCCGGAAUCAUUGGGCGUAAAGGGUGUGUAGGUGGUUGUGUUAGUCUUUUGUUAAAGCCCCUGGCUCAACCAGGGAAGUGCGAAAGAAACGGCACAACUAGAGGAUGGCAGGGAUGUAUGGAACUCAUGGAGUAGGGAUGAAAUCCGUUGAUAUCAUGGGGAACACCAAAAGCGAAGGCAGUACAUGGGCCACUCCUGACACUGAAACACGAAAGCGUGGGUAGCGAAUGGG
rnacentral:rRNA from 1 species